rnacentral:rRNA from 1 species
UACGGAGGGUGCAAGCGUUACUCGGAAUUACUGGGCGUAAAGCGCGUGUAGGUGGUUUCGUAAGUCUGGUGUGAAAUCCCGGGGCUCAACCCCGGAAGUGCAUUGGAUACUGCGAGACUAGAGUGCAGGAGAGGAUGGCGGAAUUCCAGGUGUAGAGGUGAAAUUCGUAGAUAUCUGGAGGAACAUCGGAGGCGAAGGCGGCCAUCUGGACUGCAACUGACACUGAGACGCGAAAGCGUGGGGAGCAAACAGG